rnacentral:lncRNA from 10 species
GAACAUUGUAAUCAGGCAUCUUGGGCUGCUUGCUCGAGCCCACUCCCACUCUGUGGAGUGUAAUUUUGCUUCGCUAAAUCUGUGCUUUAGUUGCUUCGUUUGUUGCUUUGUUUGUGAGUUUUGUUUAUUUCUUUUUUCAACUUGCCAAGAACCUGGACAACUCACAGUCAAGACUUUCCAUCUGGUAACAAUUUGGUCAGAUCAACAAGACAUAGCAUCUAUGAUUGUCCCUCAAAUGGCAGCCAGACUUUCUCCACCAGGAUUGUCUCAGCUCCCACUUGGCACUUGGUGCUGGUGAUCCACUAAGAUGCAGGUAGCUCCCCACCCAGCCCUAGAGUUCUCUCUCCACACCUUUCUGAUGAGACUUCCCCUGCUCCCAAUCAAGAGAACCUCUUCAUAGCUGGACAUGGUGGUUCAUGCCUAUAAUCUCAGCUACUCAGGAGGCUGAGGUAGGAGGCUUGCUUGAGGCCAGGAGUUGGAGAAUAACCUGGGCAACAUAGUGAGAUCUCAUCUCUAAAAAACGAAAAAACAAAAGCAAAACAAAAGAACCCUUCCAGCCUGCCAGUAAUUUUUAUUCUUUAUUGGUGAUGGGUGUGCUGUAGAAGGGAAGAUAUAAAUUUCUGGACCUUUCUCUGCUUCUCCCAGUUAGGAGGUUAGCUCUCACAACAGGUACGACAUACCUCCAGUUGUGGGUUAUGGCUGCUUCAACAUGAUGGCGUGUGUGUGUGUACACUUGUGUGUAGGUACAAUCAUCCCUUGAUAUCAGUAAGUCACUGGUCCCAGGAGCUCCUGUGAAUACUAAAAUUUGUGGAUGCUCAAGUCCCUUAUAUAAAGUGGUGUAGUCCCCAGUGGGCUAGUGGUUAGGAAUAAAAUAAUAUAUAAAAAUAAAAAUGGUGUAGUAUUUGCCUAUAACUCAUACACAUCCUCCUGUAUACUCUAAUCUCUAGAUUAC